UGCAAGUCGAGCGCGAAAACACUUCGGUGUGAGUAGAGCGGCGGACGGGUGAGUAAUGCUUGGGAAUCUGCCCAAUAGUGGGGGAUAACGUGUGGAAACGCACGCUAAUACCGCAUACGUCCUACGGGAGAAAGCAGGGGAUCUUCGGACCUUGCGCUAUUGGAUGAGCCCAAGUCAGAUUAGCUAGUUGGUGGGGUAAUGGCUCACCAAGGCGACGAUCUGUAGCUGGUCUGAGAGGAUGAUCAGCCACACUGGGACUGAGACACGGCCCAGACUCCUACGGGAGGCAGCAGUGGGGAAUAUUGCACAAUGGGCGAAAGCCUGAUGCAGCCAUGCCGCGUGUGUGAAGAAGGCUCUAGGGUUGUAAAGCACUUUCAGUGGGGAGGAAAAGUUCAAAACUAAUAUUUUUGAACCUUGACGUUACCUGCAGAAGAAGCACCGGCAAACUCCGUGCCAGCAGCCGCGGUAAUACGGAGGGUGCGAGCGUUAAUCGGAAUUACUGGGCGUAAAGCGCGCGUAGGUGGUUUGAUAAGCUAGCUGUGAAAGCCCUGGGCUCAACCUGGGAACUGCAGUUAGAACUGUCUGGCUAGAGUAUAGAAUAGAGGGGGGCGGAAUUUCCUGUGUAGCGGUGAAAUGCGUAGAUAUAGGAAGGAACAUCAGUGGCGAAGGCGGCCACCUGGACUAAUACUGACACUGAGGUGCGAAAGCGUGGGGAGCAAGCAGGAUUAGAUACCCUGGUAGUCCACGCCGUAAACGAUGUCUACUAGCCGUUGGGAGACUUGAUCUCUUAGUGGCGCAGUUAACGCGAUAAGUAGAUC
rnacentral:rRNA from 1 species